CAUCAAGAAGGGAAUUGAGGCUGAUGACAUGGAAGCUCUGUACAAGAAGGUCCAUGCUGCUAUCCGUGGUGAACCUACCAUGGCCAAGAUAACCAAGCAGCCACCAAAGGAGCACAAGAGGUAUAACAAGGCAGCCACCAAUCUAGCGAACUGUUGUCUACAUCUUGAUGCCUUUACCUACCUUAAUUCCAUAAACUGCAUAGCUCUAACAAUUAUUUUUCCUUUAGGUACAACCCCAAGAAGCUGACCUAUGAGCAGAGGAAGGCCAGCCUCGUCGAAAGGCUCAACGCCCUCAACUCCUCGGGUGGUGCUGAUGACGACGAUGAUGAGGAUGACGAGUGAAGUGUAGUCCCAUCGUAGUAGUUCUAUCUUAUGUGGUGAUCUGAACUUGUGCUGUGGCACUUAUUUACCUGUAGUCCUGCAACAGGCAU
rnacentral:lncRNA from 1 species